rnacentral:rRNA from 1 species
CCGGUGGUUCUGAAUGGAAGGGCCAUCGCUCAACGGAUAAAAGGUACUCCGGGGAUAACAGGCUGAUACCGCCCAAGAGUUCAUAUCGACGGCGGUGUUUGGCACCUCGAUGUCGGCUCAUCACAUCCUGGAGCUGAAGUAGGUCCCAAGGGUAUGGCUGUUCGCCAUUUAAAGUGGUACGCGAGCUGGGUUUAGAACGUCGUGAGACAGUUCGGUCCCUAUCUGCCGUGGGCGCUGGAGAACUGAGGGGGGCUGCUCCUAGUACGAGAGGACCGGAGUGGACGCAUCACUGGUGUUCGGGUUGUCAUGCCAAUGGCACUGCCCGGUAGCUAAAUGCGGAAGAGAUAAGUGCUGAAAGCAUCUAAGCACGAAACUUGCCCCGAGAUGAGUUCUCCCUGACUCCUUGAGAGUCCUGAAGGAACGUUGAAGACGACGACGUUGAUAGGCCGGGUGUGUAAGCGCAGCGAUGCGUUGAGCUAACCGGUACUAAUGAACCGUGAGGCUUAACCUUACAACGCCGAAG